UCUCCUUUUUUCUUCAACUGCUCUUUUUUAAUUUGUUUAGUUAUUUUGGUGAAACACUUCACUUAUUCAUCCAUUGAAUAAUUCGUUAUUCCCUAUUGCGUUCUGGUAUCACUCUUGCAACUUCUAAUGGUCCAUUUACACUUGAGGUACUAGAUAUUUGUACUUCUUUAUUUUUAUCAUUGUUUAUUCAGGGUUUUCAGGUAAUGAGGGAAAAAUUGAAAUCCGUUCUUUAAAAGUAGAUGCAUUAAAAACAUGCUUCAAUCCACUGCAUCCUUGAUGCCCUGAUGUUUUGUCAACAUAAUCACAUAAUUGAAAGAAACAUAUGUUGUGCCACUGGAUAAUGCAAAAGAAAAGAUGAUUUACCUAUCUGCUACCAGUUAAAAUAUGCUAAGGUAACAAAUAAAGAGCAAGUGAAAUAGUGUUCAUGCAAGUUUUUCUCUGUCUAAAAUUAGACUCAUCUACAACUGUGGGUUUCUGGUGGUAGUAUAUCAUCAUUUAGGCAUAGUCAUUAAAUUCCCGUAGUAUAUUUCCUUGAAAUUGUACUUAAUAUUGGCUUUCCUUUGCUGCAGAUUUUAUAUCUCAAAUAUAAUUCAUGUUUUCUUUUCCGUUGGCACAUGAUGUACGUGCUUCUCUAUUAUGUUUUGGCUCAAUUAAUUGAAACUCCUGUUUUCCAGGUUGUUAAAGUCUUAUUUUGUGGUGGAAAAUCUGUUUGUAAUGAGGAUAAAAAUAUGAACUUUUAGAGUAGAUGCAUUACAAGUAUGUACCAAUAACUUGCCGUGAUUUCAUAGAGCUUGCUUUGAUAUGGUAUUAUGAUAAUGUCAAAUUUCACAGUCAUCAAGAUUUCUUUUUCUUUAUCUUUCUCUUUUGUUGUUUAUUUUGAGAUGACUUCGGGUUCGGAUCUUAUUGUAUACUGUUCUUUUUUGUUUAUUUGAUUUGGAUGUUGGAUAUUAUUGUUUGUGUUGGAAUCUGUCUAUGGUAUUUAUAGGCCUAAAUGGCUUUUGUGAUUACUGUUUAUGGUAUUUAGAGGUUUAAAGAUUUGGAAAAGACAUAAGGCCAGUGACGUGUCACCUCUCAUUGCCCAGAUAAUUCAUUUAUCUUUUUUCUCCUUUAUUUACGGUUUCCAGUCUAUUCUCUCACUUCUACAUACUACAAAGUACCGCUUAAUCCCUUGCUCUGAACCAUUUCGCCUCCCUUUUUUGAUGAACCGUUUCUUCCGUUAAUUCUAAUGGUAGCCUAUCAGUUACAACCAAACACAACCAAAACCACGCCUCUUCAAACUUCUAUUCUAUUUACAUUUUUGUAUCAAUAUCUACUUCUAUUUAGUUAUUGUUCCUACUAUCGGAAUUUGAGAUGACUUGCGACAUUAAUUUGCGAAUUUUGUAAGGUUUCUAAAAUAAUGUUAGCUUUCUUAAUGGUAAUUAUUUUAUUGAUAACACUCAUUCACACCCAAUAUUUACACCAACUCAAUUGGUUUAUAAUAUGUUUCUUUACAUAAUCUUUUAGCACUUAUUUAUAGUCAAUCAAUAUUAAUUUGGAUAUUGAAAGUAGACAGACAUAUAUUAAUUUGGUGAUUCUUUAAUUUUCUGAUCUUUUUUUUUCUUUAACUUCGUGUUAUAAUGAUAUGGUGUUGAUUUGUUCCGUACUUUCACAACAGAGGCAGCAAGGUAUACCGGUGGUAGUGACGGUCGCUCUGCCCCUACUCCUUCCAUUGAGGGUAACAGAUCUGCUACCACGUGAUGUAUCGCCUCCCAUAAAACAUUGGUGUUAUUGCCAGGGGAUCAAGGUGCACUGUCUGUCCCAGUUGCUAUUAUAUCACAUUAAUUAUUUACGAUACCUAUAAGACAUAAUCUUUUUAGGUUGUUUUAAAUUUUGAGCUGCUCAAUUUUGGAAUUGUGAUUCAAAAGCUUUUAACUUUAUUGAAAGUGGAUAUUUGACAAUUUCUUAUUUAUUUAUUGAUGUGUUAUUUGUAGCUACGAAUUUGAGAAUCAAACAGGAAAACAUUAUGUGCUUAUCUGCCCUCUUUUCAAGUCUUUCCAAUUAUCAGUAUAAUGCCAGCAGAAUGAUACAAAAUAUCCAUUUAGUUUCUGCGGAAGGAGAGCUGCAUAUGGCUUUGUUUUGUUCUUAUUCUAUUUGGCUGGCAGGUGAAGUUUUUGCUUGCAUUUCCUAACUUAUCUUUUGCUUUGUGAUGUCGCUAUUCACUGAAUUGUUCUCAACUUCUGUCACAACGGCAUCGAAUUAUGAUGGCAUUUAAGACUAAGCCUAAAUGGAAUGAGUCAAUAAUUUCAUUGUUGUAACGAUGGUUGCUCAUUAAAUGUCUAAAUUUCAUCACGCUUUAGCUGUGGGUGAUUUACACCAUUUAUGAUGAAAGCAUUUGCCUUUUCUUUUGCUUUUAGGUGUAUCUAUAAAGGUGAAAAUAGGGCAGAGGAGCUAGAAAAUGCUUCAGCCUCUUGAAACUAUUGAUAAGACCUUUGAGAAACUCGAAAUGAUAUGCCAUUCCUUUCAGGUACUGAUGUUCUUAAAUUGGUAGUACUAUUUAUAAGUUUAUCGUCUUGAUUAUAUAUUUGGCUCUAUCAAAUUGGUUUUUUCCCUUCCUUGCAAAGCAUUCCUUUUCCUUUUUUAUUGGUUUUCAUUUUCCUAAUUCCAGUUAUGUACUUUGUUAGCAGUACUUUUUCCCAGACUGACACCUCCUGAAUUAAGCUACCCUUGGCACAUCAAAUAUAAAUCUCAACUUCCGAAGCUUUGGUUGUAAACUGUUUUUGUUUUUGGAUAAAAGACAUAAGAAAAUGAAUCUUGAUUUCAAGUUUUCACAAUCAGUAAGUUGGUUUUAUUUCCCUUUAAGAAUUCAGCUUCCAUAUUAUUCAUUUGACGCAAAACUUAUUGAGUUUACAUAAAGAAGUUUUUGUUCCUCUCUCGAGGUUCGAUUAUAAUUUUGCUUUAAGAAUCUCUUGAUUCUAUUUUUAAUACUUGCAUUCCUUAAAUUUACAAUUGAAAAUGAAAACCUCAAUGCAAAGAUUUCUGGCUUCUUUGGAGUUCUAUGAAAGUUUUCACUCUAAAGGUUAGGCUUUUAUCCCUUGAAGUUCUCCCUCUAUUAGUACUUUUGGUUGCUUCAUUAUUGCAGUAUUUUCCUUCCUGAUAUUGGUUUUAUUUUAGAAUGUGGGAUAGCUGGAUCGAUCUCCCUUCCGUUCAGCUUAUCCCUUUCAAAAGCAAUAAUAUGAUUUGAUUCCUUUUCCCUAUUGCGCUUUUAGUCCUUCAGAAAAAAUAAUCUUCUAUAUAUAUGAAGGCAGGACAUAGGCUCGCUGAUGUGACAUGCCUCAAUGACGAGGAAACCUAUUCAUCUAAUUUCUCAAAUUUUCACACAAUAAUCUCAAUUAUUAAUUACUUAACUCGCCACAAAAAAGUAACGAAUCCUAAAAGCCACGUCUAUUCUCUAUAACCCUUGCAGGACAAAAUUCUGGCGGUUUCAAUUAUAGAGAUCAAAUCGAGACUCUACAAAAAACAACGGAAUGUCGAUAACGGCGUGCCGAAUGCGGAGAACUUUUUAUUGAGUUUCAGAAGGAGGAAAAUGCUCAGGGUAUUAUAUCCUCAUGACCUUAAGAUCUUCAAUAUUUUCCAGCCGAGAAGUCUUCAUCUUGAUGCAUCCUUCAAGUAUCUUUUUGCUGAUAUCAUUCCUCUUCUUAAUCCUAAACGUGGGGUAAGAUACUGCUGCUGGUUUUUUCCUCCUUCAAUUUUUGCAUGCUUUUUGGAGUAACUGUCAGUUAACUCUUCUUUGUUUAUGUAUUAGAAUUCCCUUCUUUGGUGAAUUUACUUGCCAGAAUGGCAGAGCGUAGGUAUCCAAAAUGCAUCUUUAAAUUUGAGAAAAUUUUCAUUAUAACUAUAUGAUUUUAAUCACUUUGAUUGAUUUUAAGUUAGUUGCUAUACUUGCCUUUAUUUUGAAUUUUUCCUCUGCCAAAGCAUGAAUCAAGAUGGCCAUGUUAAAGUUCUACGCCACAGGACAAUGGUGGAAUGCAGAUGUGUUCCAUGUGUGAGGGUAUUCUUUAUAUUCAACUUUCAUGUAUCUUUAUAUUCUUGAUUUCCUACUUGAUUUUAGGUAACUUGCAGAAUCAAAAUUGUAUCUUUUGGUUAAUUUGUCACUCAUUUAUGACAUUCAAUUACUCUUGAAUGGAAUAUAGAUAAAAAGUGUAAUCCAACUCCGUAUUCCCGCUUUGUUUCUGCAAAUUAGUGAUUUUGAUAAGGCAACAAUUAAAACUAGCGGAAGGGAGGCUGUUACCAACUUUGAACCAAGUGUACAUGAAGGGGAAACAAUCUUUGAACCUCAGAGUGAAGGUUUGAUAAAAAGUUCUUGCUCAUUUUCAAACUAAUGUCGCUAAUUCCAAGCGACAGUGCAUUAUCUAUAUCUGGAUAUGUCUCAUUUACGAUGCUUAUGACACAAAUAGCCAACAUGAUCGUGAUUUGAACUUGGGGAUAUUAACCUCUUCUUCAAAGGAAAAUGACAGUAUCAUGAAGCGUUCCAACUAAUUAAGAGUUUCAUUUUUAAACUUCUCUGUGAGGAGGCGAGGCUGGUGUCCACUUGGAGACAAAGCAUCAAAGGCUGAAAAAAUAUGCCUGAAAAUU